UUCUCGUUUUGGGUUUUCUCCUCUUUCUCUGGGGAGAAGAUUCUCAAACUUUUAGGUUAUCUUUGGUUCCUGGAAGCUCUUUUUUUUCAUUGUGGGUUUCAGGACUCUUGCCAGGGCUGUGUGAUCUGUUGAAGGUCAAAGAAACUGCAGGGUAUCAGAAGAGAGCCUUGCGUUUGUUUAAUUGAGUCCUCCCAGUCUGAAGAGAAGUUCUGUAGUCCAAAUAACCCAUGGCAAUACAGAGCAGAAGAGAGAAAAUGUAGGAAACUGUCAUCUGUGUUGGAAACCUUCUAUCCUGGAGCUUUCACAAGGAUCUUUUAUCUCUACAAAUUCUGAGAGCUGGGGAAGGUGUAAUGCAAUAUCAGGCUUAAUUUCUUUAUCCUAUCCUGCAGUUCCUUGCUUUCAAGCUUCUCUUCCAAGCUGAGAGCAUUCUAAAUUUCUAGACACAAUUGUAGCUCUUAUAGGAAAUUACUUAUCAUGAUGAUUGCCUCCCCAGCAGCAUCAUUCCCAUUUGAAAUUCACCAAUUUUAAAGAAAUGAAUUACACUAUAAUAACUUCAUUCUUUUUCUAAAGGCACACGAGUUCUUGACAAGCUGCAUUGUAAAGCCAAACCUUCCGGACAGUUUGACUCAGUAAUUUCUUUCCUUAAUACGUUCCUCACUGCACCAAUGGGCCCUGUUGUCUGGGAUUCAAGCCUUGGUUUUUCAAACAGCCAAAGGAAGAAGAAGAAGAAGAAGGAGAGGAAAAAAAAAAAAAAAAAAAGUUUUCAACUAUUUUUUAGGAACAUUUUUGCAUUUUUGUCUUUAUCAUGUUAGGUACUUCCAGAGCAAUGUGCAGUUCAGAGCUCAGAAUAGCUCUUGCUGAGCAGUCUCCCUACUGAUUCACUGCAGAUUUUACAUUAAGAAGUUCUUCAAGUUACUUUGAUUGGAGGACGUAUGGGACGCUUUGCACUCCCACUUGUAAGUCAUGCUGGGGGGAUGUAGGGAAGCACAGAUGCCUACCUGCUAUUCCUUCACUCACUCACAAGCCACUGAUCUCAGAUACUGGUGUGCUGGGCAGAAAAACAAAGCUAAAAUGUUUCUGCUCUGCUGAUCACCAGUAAUUGACAGUACUGUUAAAAAUGUCCAAAUAAAUGUUACGAGGAGUUUACAGAGAACUUCCAGAGAGGUUUUAGGGAGCAAAGUGACUUCCUGGGGAAGGCUUGAACUUCAGGGAGGCGGAGGACAACAAGCACAAACUAGAUGUGGUGGUUGAUGGGUCCUUGCUGCUCAACCCAAUGACCCUGGACUUGGAGGAUUGUUCCCUGUUGGUCCCAAGGCAAGUAUAAGAGGUGUAACUUGUUUUUGUGAAGGUUUUGGGUAGUAUAAAGCUACUGGCAAUGCACCAGCUGAACAGUGAGGAGAAAAUCCAUCCGUGCAACUCCUUAGAAAAAGGGCUGUUUCCCAGGAGGGCUUGGAGAAAGGUGUGAAGCCAAGAGAAAGCUUUCAUGGAUAUACAGCUGGCACAGCUGGAUCUAAUUUAAGCUGUCCGGCUUACUUCUCCCCAGAAAGCAAAGGAGAAAGAAGCAGCAGGAUCCAUGAAAGCAACAGGAAGUUUGGAUGUUGGACAGAGGAGGCAGCAGCUGUGUAAUUAUGCAUAACAAAGCAAUUUUAGGAGGUUUUUGCUCAUUCUUGUAUAGUAGCACAUCUUUUUGUGCCGCUGCAGCUAUAAUUUGGCUGCACGCUGAAAUGGAUCAGCAGGAGGUGGGGGGUCGUUAAAAAAUCCUUAAACAGGCACAGCAGUGGCAUUCACCCGGACCCCUCCAUAUGGAGACAUAUAGGUCCAGGCUGAGAGGUCAAUAGCCUCCUGCAGCCACCUCCAAUUACCAGCAGCCAGGUCUGCACACACUUCUGCAGGGAGAGGUGUGAGGUGCAGGCAUGCUGCUGGGCUGCUUCCAGCCAACAGACCCUUACUGGUGCCUGGUUUCAGAGCACCAAAAUGAACAAUGCUGCUUGCCAGUUGAGUCAUUUGGAGCACAGACAGCUAUUUUGGGGUAGGACUCAGCCUGCUAAUGUUGCCAUUAUCAACAUUUUAUACUUUUCCAUUAUGGAGCAUGUAGUGUCUCUAUCCCUGCUUUUGGAGAUAAGGGACUUACAGAUCAUUCAGGAACAUGAUUUGAGCAUCUGAAACUGCAAGGAAGCGGUAGUGUGGGUUUUGUUCUUGAAAGCUUGGAAUGUUACUGAUUACAAUGGAUGUGACAAUGAAGUUAAGGAGAGAAAACAAUGCACUGGAAAAUUCUGGAUUUGUUGUGAUUAUUGUAGGAGAAAUGAAUGGAAUGCAGAUGAAAAUGAGAAGACUUUGAAGGCAAGGCUUUUUUUUUUCUGUAUUAUAAAUGAAUAUCAGUGGGAACAGUCAUUAAUGUUUCAAACUAACCCCAGAAACACAAAUAUUUCAAGAAAGAAAGAAAAAAUCUCAGAGUAAAAGCCAUUGAAAGAGGCUGGGAAUAUUAGAAGGACUAAAGGAUGCCAGUGGGAGAUGUUUGGGCUAGAAGAGAUGUAGGAUGAUCUGUAAAAUAGAUGAACCCUACCUGGAUGAGGCUGAGCUGCCUCCCAGGAGCCCUCUGAAGUGUUUCAGAGCUUCUCACUUCACACUUCCUUUCAAUUUCUUCCUUGUGCAUCACUUAGUAAAGGAAUUUGGAGGUGUUUUAUUUUCCCUUUUGCAUAUUUAUAGCUGUUAGUAAAAUCAAGCAGGAUUUCUGUCAUUUCAGAAACUUCAAAGCAGUUUUAAUCUAGUGCAGCUUCAGAUCUACAGUGGGGCAGCAAACUGGUGCAUGUGGACUUGCAGUAUGGAUGAGGAGUCCCUGUCACGUCCCUGGUCCUCAGGGCCAGUGACCACAUUUCUCUGCACGUCCUAACAGGGUAUGACCCCAGAGAUGAACAAGAAAAAUGUGCAGUAGUAGCACAAAAAUAAAUGUGAAUGAGAAUUCUGAUCAUUCCUCUAUGAGUCCACAGUGUUGGGGAAGAAGGAAAAGCAAACUUCUCUUUCACUUUUACUUAUUGCUUAGCUCAGGUGUGGUACUGAGUGUCCCUUAUCCUCUUUCUCAAGUCCCUUGUGAUUUCUUUUCCUACAGACUAUUUUGGGAUGUGUAUCUGAUGCUUCAUCCUUCAGAGCUAUAACUCCUUUUGUAAUCCUGGCUGUUUGGAAAAGAUGCCUCCUGUGAGAGGCAGCCCACGGUGGUAUCUUCUGCAGCAGCCUCACAAGGGAGGGAUGCCCUCACUGUGCCAGAGCUCUGCAGUGUGUCAGACUGUCCUGAGAAGUGCGUCUGUCCAUCCUGGGGCUUACCAACUAUUCACUGAGCUGGGACCUAUGAGAUGUAUUUGGUGAUCACAGCCCAGUGCCAGGGAGGUGACAGCCAGCUGAACAGUGAGAUGUUAGCAGUAACAUUGGCAAUCAUGUGAUUUUACUCCUGCUCAUCCACAGCAGUACCACCAAAAGACCUGAGGAAUAUCAAAAUACUUUGUACAAGCAGUGGAAAAAAGCUUAAGUUAUGAUAAUUUGAUACAGUGGUGGGUUGCAAUAUUUAACAUAUUAGAUAUUUCUGGAGUUUUAUUUUUCUGGAAUCAGUGCUGGCACAUCCAGUGUGUCGACAGCCUUGUGAACAGGAGAGUAAUUAGAGUGGAUGAAAAGUCCCAGAUUUCUCAGCCUGUCCCCAUAGGGGAGGUGCUCCAGCCCUCUGACCACCUUUGUGGCCCUGCUCUGGAUUCUCACCUGUCUGUGUGCCUUCACCAGGGGAGGGCUGCUUCAACACAGCAAAAGAAGUUGUACUUGUCACCUUAUGUGUGCAUGCAAGAUAAUGGCAUCCAUCCAGUCAUCUCUUCUGCCCCCUCCACAAACUCACUCCUUUGUGGGAUAGCGGUGAGAACAGAAGCUCAAACCUUACUUUGAGGAGAUAGGCAGUCUUAGCAUCUUCCUUUCCCGUUGCUCCUCACAGAGAGGAUUUUAUUUUCACUUUGAACAAAUGCAUCAAAACUGUGCAGCACCCGUUCACCUCCAGGUAAGUUGUUCCUCUGUAAGGAAAGUAGAGCUUGAGGAAGAGGGCCUGAAACUGGUUAGUGAUGUUCUCUUUGGAGCAACUGCUUGAACAAGCUGUACACCUCCCACUCCAUUUGCAGACCAGCACCUUCCAAUUAUACAAUUCACUUCUCCCUUUGUUUGCUGAUGCCAUUUCUUCAGAGAAGUAAGCAGAUAGAAAUUGCUACAUUCUCUAUGUGUGUAUGAGCUUGUAGGCACCUCUGUCCACAGCCCUGCCUUCUGGACCCUGGUGCAGCAUCACCUGGGGCAAGGGCAGCGCCAGUCCACCCCAAAUGCAGAGUAAGCUGCAUUCUGUGCUCCCAGCAAGGCUGAGCAGCCAACAUCAAGUCUCAGCUUUGGAUCAGAAGAGAAUGAUGAUCUCAGUAGCAGGGCUUUCUUUUUUUUUUUUUUUUUUUAUUCCUUCUGAAUUUGGCCCUGAGGCACAGUUAUCAGCUCUGGAGGCAUCAAGCAUUGUAAUUUUCAACAGUGUGAGGUAAAAGCUGGUGGGAAAACAGAUGCAAAAGACAUUUAACCUGUUCUGAUUGGUCACGCUGAGCAGCUGGGCAUGAGGGGACCUGUGUCUGGCUCAGCUUUGUUUGUUGCUGUCAGAUGCAGAACUCUGCUCCAAUUCAAAGUAAUUUUCUGGAAUACAGUUGUGCUUGUCCUUUGGAGAUUGGUUCUUACAGUUGUUUUCCCUAAUAAUAUACCUUUCCCCACUAAAAUCAUAGACAAACCUGGCAAUAAGGGGAACUAGCAAUUCCACAUACAUUUAAAAGCAGCACAAAGAAAUGCCUCCAUCUCCUCAGCCCGGUAAGCAAAGAUAGAAGCAGACGUGUGGUGACUGUGUGAGAGCUGGGGCAGAGAUGCUCUGAAGAAUCCCCAUUGUGGAGGGUCAUUUUUCUGAGCACUCUGCUGGGUGCCCCAGAGGGAGAAAAAGUGUGUGUGAGGGCUUCAGAAAGGUGCUCAGAGCACCAGCAGGCUGAGCUGGAAUUUGUAUUCCCUGGACUGGAACCCUGCCAUGGGAAGAAUAGGCUACUGGGGGAGAGGGGCUUUGUUUCCUACCAUCUCCCUCAGAAGUGACAGCCCAAAAUACAGUUGUUUUAAAUAAUUUUCCUUGGUUUUGCAGGCAUCCAGACUUGGUGUAGUGAGCCAACAUUCACAGACUGUCCCCUUAUGUCAACUGCUUGGGCUGUGCUGGGAUCUCACCAAACCCAGCAGUCAGCCUGAGUGUGGGAGCAUGAAAAGAAAAGAGAGAGAACAGAACUGCACUUGAUUUCAUUGAAAUUUGGAGCUGACAGAAGCUGAAACAAAGCAGAAAUAAUGCAAUCAAUUGUCUGUGAAGUGCAUAGAAAACUGCUCUCCUUUACAGCAGAUUUCAGGUCUGUGCUCAAAGCCAUUCAUACUGUGACAGCUGAAUCCUGGCAGGUCAGUGAUAGCAUUGGGUAUGACACUAUGUUACCACAGGCAACAGCAGCCACAGGAGCUGAAUGCUCUUCAUGGCCUCUGUGUCUGAUUUCUUUCCUUUCUGCAAAGCCCCCCUCUGCCAAGCUCUAUGACUGUCCCCCACCUCUCCCUUCUGAGAGAGGGAGCUCAGCUCCAGACUGAUCUCAGUCCUGAAAACCAAAGGCAUCACCAUCAGCUUCCUCAGCUGAUGCUGAAUGGCUGAAGAGCUUCAGUUUUGUGUCUGCAUCAUUGAAGGUGGCAUUAACUGGAUGCUGAGCUGAGUCAGCAGGCAUUGGGGAAAGAAUCAUUUGUGGUCUCAGCAGUGGGGUCCUGUCUGGGUCAGAGAUGAAUCACUUUGACAAGGGUACAGAGUGCUGCACAUGGAAGGGGCACACGUUUGGGUGCUGCACUGAGUCAUGGCAGAGUUCACAGAGCUGAGAUCAGACUGCAGAAUUAUUGCUUCCUAAAUAAGCCCUGUCCACACCGAACACAUCAAUGUUAUUGCCAUCAGCAGAAAUAGAAGGAAUUAGUUGUCAGGGAGUGUUUCCAAUUUAAAUGUUAGCAGCUGUUAUUAUUUCAGUGAGGCAAAUUUUGUGAUUUUGAAUUUUGAAGUCUGCUCUCAGUAAAUUAGAAAUAAUUAUGUAACAGCCAGGCUGUGUCUGCAAUGGAUCUCAGUAGUUAUCAGGAGAGGAACACAAGCAGAAGACUGCCUGAUGUCAGUGGGGGUGAAGGGAUAUGCAGACCAGAACUUAUGUUUCCAAAUGCUGCAGACUGAGCCCCGGGUGCCUCCUGCAGCACACAGAGCUUUGGGUGCUGAGCACCUCACAUGGAAUGGCUGUGCAUUGCUUGGCUGUGAACCGUGUGGCUUAUGGCACUGCAGGCUUUGUGUGAAGCUGUUCUGUACCUCUACAUAAAAAUAGUGGACGUUUUGAAUCGUCAGCAUGUCUGAAAUUCAGGGCUGCAUUCUUUAAUUCACAGUCACUCCAUUAUCACCAGUCCUGGGGGGGCUAUGAAAUCCUUUAUCACGUCUGUGUAGUGUCCUGCACAAUAUCUGUGCCUGCUAUUCUUGCAUUUCUCACUCACAAGAGCAGUACUGCUCACUGCAAAUUAAGAGGAAUACAGCAUCCUCAGGGCAUUAAAGCAAAUAUACAAGGUAAGAAUCCCAGAUCAGAGCUUUCAAAGACUGUUCAAACUUUUAUUCAUAUCACACCUGCUGUGUAAAGGGAAAAAAGAAAUGGGGGAUUGGUGUACAGAUCGGGUUGCUUCUGCUCCUUCACCAAACUGUGUAUUUAAAAAGAAAGUACAAACUGCUGGCUUCUCUGGAGAACUGCAGUCUUCCAAGGUGCUGUCUGAUGCAAUUGGCACAUUGAUGGGAAUUUUAGUCAUUUAGACUUAAGAAAUGUAACGGUUGAAUUUUCUCCCUCUUGUCCACACUGAAGCAAUGAAACAUUGCAUCUUCCCCAGCUGUUUCAGCUCCAAACUGCAGAGCUCAGACAUUUUCCCUUUCAAACCAGAAGUCCUCGACUGACUUUUGCAGCCACGUGGGCUCACACUCAGCUCUGCUGUGCCCUUAGGAUGCUGCCCACUCCCUGUGGUUCUCUGCUGCUCUCCAUCAUUCAUCCUGACGCAGGGGGAAAUGGUUCAGACUGUGGAUGUGUGAGCAGCUCUCAUGACCUCUCAUGGGCUGCAGGAGGCCUAUACCCAGCACAUACAACUGUGCUUGUAGAGAAACAUAUGGGCGCACUGUCAGAAAGCAGAGAAAUGUACCUCCUAAGCAUGGUAGGUACUUUGGAACUAGAAAACUGUCUAAUGCAGUGGCCUUGUAUAUUUAGUAUCACUCACAUAUUGUCUUAUAAAAUAUUUACAUACCUCAUAAAUAUGGAAUAAAGUAACUUGUAGGAACCUGUAGGGACAAUCUUAUUCAGCUUUUCUAGCUCAUUAUGCAGGUAAUGAAAGCAUUUUCCCUCUGCUAAGCUUGUUACAUAAUGGAGCUUUUGUCACUGAAUUCUGACUUCAUCAGCCAAGCGCGAUCCAGACAGCUGAUGCAAAAAUCAUAAAUGGAUUAUGUAUAUUAAAGUAUUUUUCAUGACACUGAGGAAUGGAGAUAUCGCUAUCCGGGACUUUGGUUGAUCUGAACAAUUCAGCUGCAGACCCCACAUCUGUGUAAACGAUGUGACUACUCCCACUGGCAUCAUCCAAGCAUAAAAGAAUCCUCCUAGCUGAAGCAAAAGAUAUUACGAUCAAUUCAUUUCACUUUGGGCCCCCAGAACUGCUGACAUCCUUGGCUGUGGUCCUGGUAGUGCUCUGCCAAUGGAAUGUACCUGCAGUACUGUUAAGGAAGGGCAAUGUGAUGGAUCUGCCAGAUGAUGUCCUGGCCACGUUUGGGCUUUCUUUGGACAAGUCUCAAAAAUAGCUUUAUAAGUUGUCUCUUGAACUGUCUACUCCUCUUUUUUAAACAAGCAGGGCUAAUCACAAGAUGAAGCCCAGAAUUAUCUACUAGAAGAUGGAUCGUUGUUAAUGAAAUCCAUCGAUAAUGAAACUAUUGAUGUCCAGCACGCAGGGCUGUCCUUGGUGAUGGAUGGUGCUGGUUUGUGGGUGCACAAAGUGAAUGGCCUCUCCUCUCCCAGGCAGUUAUUUGCGAUCACUUUAAUUUCACACCAAAGCACAAUGGGGUAAAGAAGAGAUCUCUUUUACACCUCUGUUUACACCAGAAUUACACCUAUUUUACUCCUUUCUGAAUUCAAGUAUCUACAUCCUUCUACUGAAAAAGAGUUAGGGAAAUGAAGGCAUCUUAAUGUUUUUUUCCCUUAAAAUCUUCACAAGAGCAGACAGGAACAAGCACUUAAAAAUGCACACUGCUAAGGCUGUGAUAACAGGACCUGGGGAGAAAGGCUUCAUAGCUAUCAGGUUUUGGCAUGUAAUGAAGAUGAAUCACGUCUUUUGAAACCCUUUCUUUAAAAUUAACUUAAAUGAAGGUGCAGCAGUGAGUGUUCUUGACCUUGGAUACUUCUACAGAACGUACAGUGAAGAUGAUUGCUGAAUUAUAUGGCUUAUGUUUGUGAGAUGGGAAAAAGUGCCAACAGGCACAUGGAAGGUAUCCUGGGGCUAAGGCAGGCGGUGACACUUGACCCCAUCCUGGCUGGGUGGAUUCAUGCCCUUACAGAGCAGAAGCAAAGAGGAAAAAGCUGCAGCAGCACUCUGUGUGCUUAUGCCUUGAACUAGUUGUGUGCUAGGCUCAGUCCCAGUGAUGGGACUUAUGGCAAAAGACAUUCUGAAUGGCCAAAGGUGUUAUGAAUUGCCAGGCCAGUGCUGGGAUGCUGAGUCUGACAGAAAGGUGAAGCUGCCUUCAUCUCCAACACAUCACGAACCUGACUGCUGGUGCUGCAGCUGCCCACCUGCUGGCAUAGGGCUCUGAACUUGGGUUGGGGCUGCACUGCAAGUGGCUUUGUCUGGAGAGGAAGGGAAGAAGAUAAGGGAUUCCUGCCCUUGCUGUUUCUUCCUUUCUGCUCCUGCUCUCCCACCCUGCCUCAGUGUCCAGCUGGCCAACCUGUGAUAGAGUCACUGUGGACACCCAGCAGCAUCCUGGAACUUCUCAUUUCCACAUAGCAUUUCACUUUUUAUGAUGUGCUCUGCAUCACAGGGGGAUUGCAAAUGGGACAGUGCCAGGCACAAAAUGGGGAGCUCACUGGAGGCAGAACUCUUCAGAAGUUAUGUCUUGUCUGCAGACAGUUGUAGUCUGUCUGCAGAAACUCUAGAAGGCAGCAGAAGAAAGAUGCUGACAUUUAGUAAAGCGGCUGCACCCCAUCAAGCUUUUGAGCUGGGUACACAGAAAGGAGGGGAAGAAGAUGGGAAAGAGGGAAGAUAAGGGCACAUCCAUCUCUGUGUAUUUUGCUGCUCUGCUAGAAUCCGUGGAUGCCAGAUACUCCAAUCACUUGUCUGUGGGGCUGCAAUCCAUCUCAGGGUGAGCCAAGAGGAGAUACACUAUUGGCUAUUUCAUAUGCAGUGUGUCAUCUGGCAGGCUGUAUAUAUAGUAAGGAAAGCAGGGACCAUUCAGACUCUGAGCAAAGCUGCUUCCAGUGAAUAUCUCUGAGAUACUCUGAGGAUGGAAAGAAACAGGAAAGGCUUCCUCUGCUUUUUUUGAUUCUGAUAAGCUCUGAAAACUGUUGGGAAAUGCAGUGCUGAUUGGUGGAAUAGCAAUAAAGCACUUUUCCAAGGAGAAAUUGCGGGAGAAAAGAACAGUACCUGAAAGGAAAUAUUUUCUAGGAUUUCUUCCUACAUACAGAGAGGAAGAUUUUGGGUAUAUUUCAGGAUCUGAAUCAGCUCCUGUGUACAGGACGUAUGAGACUGAAAAAGAAGAGCAGCACCUGGAGAGUCCUGGAGCGCAGCCAAUGCAUGAUCAGCACAGGAAGAAGGAUCUGUUUAUCAACUCCUUUGUCUGGUUUGUAACUGCAGGGCAUAUUUUUAUAAUGCAAACAUGCAUAUUUCUCCCUGCAACCACUGAAUGCAGCACCUGAGCUCCCAGAAAGGAGGAGGGCAGGGAAAAGUGCUGCUGGCCCUGGAUCAGUGCUUCCUGAGCCAUGAGCAGGCACACGUGGUUCCCUCUGCAGUACAUUUCCAAGCCCUUCUGGAGAGCAGAGAAUCACACCAGCACCAGCUUCCUCUUUACACGGUACAGCUUCCCAAAUCAGUCCUUCUUCCACAGUGAUUUGGACCUGGAGGACUUGGGAGACUUUGACAGUGGGACCAAAUAUGAGGGCGAAUCCCAGAGCAGGACGGUGCAGGCGCUGCUGAUAGUAGCUUAUUCAGUGAUCAUCUGCAUCUCUCUCUUUGGAAACACCCUGGUGUGCCAUGUGGUGAUCAAGAACAAAAGGAUGCACUCUGCUACCAGUCUCUUCAUCGUCAACCUGGCUGUGGCAGAUGUGAUGAUCACCAUCCUCAACACCCCCUUCACACUGGUGCGGUUUGUAAGCAGUACUUGGAUCUUUGGAAAGCUGAUGUGUCAUGUCAGCCGGUUUGUGCAGUACUGUUCCGUCCACGUGUCUGUACUGACCCUUGCUGCCAUCGCUCUGGAUCGUCACCAGGUUAUCAUGCAUCCCCUCAAGCCACGUAUGUCUAUGGUAAAAGGAGGGAUUUGCAUCAUUAUCAUCUGGGUUAUGGCCAGCUGCUUCUCACUUCCUCAUGCCAUCUAUCAGACUUUGACAAGGUUUUAUAUCGGGAACAGAACAAUACGAACAGUAUGCCUCCCCAGCUUCCCUCCUCCUGCUGAUCUUUUCUGGAAGUAUUUGGACCUGACUACGUUUGUUCUCUUGUAUGUUUUACCCUUGCUUGUCAUCUCCAUUACCUACACCAUGGUGGCAAAGAAGCUCUGGCUGAGAAAUGCCAUUGGGGACGUCACCAUGGAGCAGUACUAUGCCCAUCAGAGGAAGAAGAAGAUGACACUGAAGAUGCUGAUGGUGGUGGUGAUUGUGUUUGCAGUGUGCUGGUUCCCUCUGAACUGCUACGUGGUGCUGAUCUCCUGCAGGGCCAUCCACAGCAGCAAUGCUCUGUACUUUGCUUUCCACUGGUUUGCCAUGAGCAGCACUUGCUACAACCCCUUCAUUUACUGUUGGCUGAAUGAGAACUUCAGGUCUGAGCUGAAGUCCCUGCUGUGUGUGUGUCGGCGGAGAAAUGCAGCCCAGAGCCAUGCCCUGCAGUCCAUCUCCCCUCCAUUCAGACCUGCCUGGUUCGAGAGUUGCCGUUACAAGAGAGGCAGCACCUGCCAGAAAACAGCACCAUCCCAAAGGAAUUCUACCAAGACAGACAUAUCCAGUGUUCAGCCAAUUGUGGCAGAACAGUAACCCCCAGUAACCCCUCACAAACAGGAGCCUCACCAACCUCAGGCAGGACUGUGUGGCUCCGUGCCUGGCCCUGGGAGCAGAGGUGCCCUCACCUCCAGGUGCUGGCUGAGCCACACACAGCAGUGUUAUCCCAUCGGGAGCUGCCAGACCUGGACUGCUAAUUUGGUUCAUUUACAGCACCGACACAGAGCCUGCAUCCCAACAUGGACCCCAGGCCUUUAUUGUAAGGAACAGAGGGAUGCACAGAGAGGUGAAGAGGUAUCGGUUGUCAAACCUCUUGUUUUUCACGGGAGGAAAAGGGAAGGAGAAGAGCAAAGAAAAUACACCGUGGAAAUCCACGCCCGUCAGACUCAGCGGGGAACGGCGGGACGGCGCCGUGCGUGGCCGCCAGGGGGCGCCACCCCACCGCACUGCCAAGCGAGGCCGCUAGAGGACGCUGUGACACCGCGGUCUCGGCUUGGCCCGCCCGGCGCCGCUGCUGUGAACGGGAAGGGCAGAGGCUGUGGUCAGCUCGGGCAUCUCUUUAAAGUGUUGCUUUUUCUGUAGCUCUGUGAUAGGAUGAGUGAAAGACUUCUCUGAGAAUAUUUUUCAAUCACGUCAGGAUGUGUUUAGACUUCAGAAAUACGCUAUGAGCUCGAACGCCGUUUUGGAACCCCGGGCAGCGGCAGCUGUGUCCGUGUCCGUGUCCGUGUCCGUGUCCGUGUCCGUGUCCGUGUCCGUGUCCGUGUCCGUGCCUGUGAUCGGCUCCCAUCGCUCCUUAACGCCGGAACUGAGGCUCUGCAGCGCUGCCCGCUGCCCUGGCACUGAUCUGCGGGGCCUCGGACGUACUGAGUGUGUGAGGAGUUCUGUAUCGAAGUUAAAAGGACGCAUUAAAAUAAAUGAGAUAAGGUAUCCUGGCUGCGUGCUCCUAAUGCAGCCCAGCCAGAUAACUACAAUGGGACCCGAGUUCUCAGCAGUGAUAGCGCAGGUCAGCAAAGGAAGCGAAGCAAUUACGUUCCAAACACACUUUGCCGAUGGAUCUCAGCGAGCUGGGUUGGUAGGCAGACUACGGCAGAGCCUUUUGUGCUCCCGACCAUAGAAAACAAUCAAUAGAAAAGCUUAACUUCCUGGACCUGCGCUGAAUGCUAAGUUAGCAGAAGAGUACCUCAUUAUUAUACUACUUUUUUACAAGGAAACAGUGGACAGAGGAAAUGUGACUCAGUGCAAACACUGGGAUAAAAAGGUACUGUGCAAAUGAACAAACAAACCACUUGCAAGCAAGCUCCGCUGAGUGCCACUGUCGCAUUCUUGUUGAGUCUCAGGGCAUUUUAGGACCCGCUCCAAAAGGGUUCUUCGUUAUUCAUACAGCUAAAAAUAGAGCUGACGUCUCAACCGCAGUGCUCAGCCAAAGCUCAGAGCCAAAGAACACUGAUUCAUUGAAUCCAAACCUUUGGGCUCUUCCAGAAAACCACAAGGUAAGGUGACAGAAGUUCCAGUGAAGUUGAUCCAAACGUUGACAACGUCAGCCUUUGUCCUCUGACAACGCCUCUCCUUUCCAGAUUAUGACUAUUAGCUAGUAAGAAUAUUGUAACUAAAUAUACACAAAAGCCAGAGAUUGCAAAACAGUCGCCCCGGGGAUGUUAAAACAAACAGAAAUCCCACAUGUAUUUUUCCUCUUUCAGUGUCUGCCAAGGUCCAAUUGCUGCUCUGAAGGCUGCUUUGUGCCAUUUUUGUUUUUUUUUUUCCUCCAUUCCUUCUCAUGAAUGGACUUUUGUCCACUCUCCUUCUACAACCUCCACAUUAGGCUUAGCAUCGUAAGACUCCAUAUUUUUCAUAUGGAAAGCCCGAUGUAUGCAAGGCUUGCUUCUCUCAGUUCACUGUCAGAGGAAAGGAUGAGAACAGAGAUACGAUCUCUGUCUGCUGGGAACCACUGGGAAAAAAAGGAGGUAACUGAAGAGACUUCUGGGGAGGAAUGACAAGUAGAGCAAUGACUCUCGUCAGAGGAGGGGGUGGGUGAUGCUGCAGGUUGCAGGCUGAGCUGCCUCAGGAGGAGCAGAAAGAAGAGCACAAACCCUUACCCUGCUUCCCUUACCGCAUCCAUCAAAGCCCCCUUUUCCACUGUUUUAGCAGCUGACAGCUGAAGAUAUAAACUUAGUCUCUUUUGAAUUAAUGCUGUGGUAAAACUCCUCUGAAGGAGCACUGCAGAAAUCACACCCACACCUCACUAACACCUACAAACCCUCAAUACUGACAGCAACUGCCUCAUGUUUGCAAAAGUUCUGGGAGCGUUUGAAGUGCUGAAUGCUGCUGUUCUAUGAUAUCUGCCCUUCCUUCUCCUCCCACAAGCGUUUUGUCUGUCUCAGUGUGAUGCUGCACUGACAGGCAGAGAGGAGCAGUGCAGUGCACAGCAGCACUGGCAGCACAGCUGCUCUGCGUUUGCAGCUUGGGAUCGGAUCUCACCCUUCACCUGUUGGGCUCCUUUGUUACUUCAGAACAAGAAAGUUUCAGUAUUUCAUAGGGCAUCAAAGACUUCCCAGCUUUUGGCUGAGAUGUAAGAACAAAGCACGCAAUUCUCAUUAUGUAUUUCAUCAUUAUUUUCCCCUCCUUUGUCAUUUCUAUCUGAAAGGGGAAAAAAAAAUAAAUCACGGGGUGUUAUUAAAAAUACUUAAAUCUUGCCAUCAUCUCAAGUUGAAACGACACUGCUUACAGCUGCUUUAAUGCACACUGCCAGCUCCUGUCACGUAACCCACAGCAUUGGUACUCAGUCAGUAAUGGGGAGAGUGGAAAGUCAUCAAAAAGUUGAAAGCUGAUAAAUUCAGUCUAACAAGAUUGCUCCACUCAGCCCAGCUGCUCUGCUUGUGCAGAGUGGUGCUUCAGGGCACAGAUGCUGAAGGCAGAGCCUUAUGGGAAGGAACAGCUCUGCCCACAUCCCAGAACUGUUCUUUCACCUCCCCAAAGCAAGACCAGGUGCGAAGUGCUGGCCAUGCCCAGGGCUGGCUGUGCUGUUCUCCUCUGGUGCUUGAAACUGCGCAAAGCUUGGGGGGUGUGGAUGCCACCUUUCCCCCUUUUCCUUGCAUUGCUGAGGAUAUGAGAAACCAAAGCUGGAGCAGGAGGGAUGUGGAUGCUGCUCCAGGAGGGGAGGCUGCCAUUAGGGCAGCAGCUGCUCAUGGCCAGAGGGGACACCCACCUGUUUGUGUUGGAGCAGGUGUCACAGCUUUAAAAAAUGAGGGCUUCUAUUGUCCCAAACUCAAAAUGUGCAUCAAGGUCACAACAUGCUGGCAGCAAACUGAGGCUGUGGAUCCUGCUAAAUGAAGUGAGGAAAGGAAUCAAAGCCUGUUGAUGAUCAGAUGUGUCUUUGCUAACUGAAACCACUCUAUGACUCUGAUGGCUGCCAGCUGGGAUGGUGGCAGUCUUCUGGUGCAGCUGCAUGCACCCCAGCAAGCUGCAUGGUGGUACCACUCAAUCACCCAGAGCUCAUUUCCCUGAGCCCCCACCUCCUGUGGCUCCUGUUCCCAGGCACCUGCUCUGCUCUCAGCAGGUGGCAGAGCUGCUGUGCCCUGGUGACAGGGAGGGGAGGUUGCUGCUGGGGCAUUUCCUUCUGACUCAUUCUUCUGUACCUCUCUUCUAAUGUCCUCAGUUGGUUCUCCUGCCCUGCAGGAGGACCAGUAAUGGUGAGCUUGCUUUAGGAAGCUCCAAAGAGUGGAUGUUGAACCAAGAUCCUUGGGGUUUUGUUGUGAGAGGCACCAAGAGGAAUUUGGAGGAAGCAUCCUGCAUUUAGGGAGAGCCAGGAGCUGUGUGCUGUAAGCACAUCUGUCCAGCUGGCAGCAGAAGUUUGAGGCUCUUUUCCAUGCCCUGCCCCUCCAGCAGCAGCUUCAGGGGUUCUAGGAACACCUUCUUAUGACUAGAACUGAGUUCUGCUUUGCUCACUGUCCCAAGGGGAGAUGGCUCCUGCCUGCACAUCUCAUGCCUAAGACUGAAAACUGAAGGGGUAUUUUUGCUUCAGCUGUGGUUCCUCUUUUAACAGAAAAGAAACAAAGCUCAGCUUUGCCCCCAGGAUAUCUGUUCCUUGAAGGACUUUAAUCUGUUUUACACUUUGCAGUUUUGCAGACUGACUGUUUACAAGAUCACUACUCUAAGUAUGAUUUUUCUUUUCCUUAAUUUCCUGAAACUCUUUAGGCUUUAACAGCAGCUCCUAAAGCAAAGUACCCAGCAACAUGCACUGCUCUAGGAAACUCACACUGUGAUGUGCUCAGCUCUGCAGUAAUUACUGUGUGUGUGUAUAAAUGUCAGUUCCACUUUCUUUGUGGCCCCAAAUUUAUUAAAUUAAC